rnacentral:lncRNA from 1 species
CUUCCAUAUUUACCUUGAGGGAAACAUGUUCCCAAAUCUUCCCAUGCCUCGACAUCCCAAAUAUCAUCUAAUACGAUGAGGUAUCUCUUGCCUAUUAGAACCCUGCGCAACAUGUCAGCUACAUCAUCCUCUUCUUUGAUUUCGAUCUCAUCAUUUGUAGCUUGUUUGAAAAUCUCAAUCAAUAACGUCGUCCUAUUAUAUACUUGCGACAAAGCACACCAUGCUUUAACAUCAAAGUGAUUAACAAUAUAGGGAUUGUUGUAUACCUUUCUUGCCAAAGUUGUUUUACCAAGUCCUGCCAUUCCAUAGAUGGAGAUAAGAUCCCGCUCCUUUGUUCCUCGUAUCAAUUUCAUCAUUAUAAUUUCUGCUUCUUUCUCAAAGCCGACAACUUCAUCAUCAUCAUAGAUUGAUGUAAUACCAGGUUUGUUUGAAGGCUCUCCAGAAGAAAGAGUUCCUUUAGCACAAGUCUCAACAACUUCCAUGGAUUGAGUUAAUUGCUCUUUCACCUUUAAUAAAAGAAAUGAAAACAAUAUCAUUUCAUAAUUUAGAGAAGAAAAACACCAUAACCAAGUUCAAAUGAUUUGAAUUUUUGUUGUACUACAAUUUACAAACCAACUUGAAGUAGUUAGUUACAUAUUUGAAUUAAUUACAUGAUUUUAUAAGCGAAAAAAGAUUUUAAAAAAAUCUCACCUUCCGUUGUUGAUUGUGGCAAACAGAGAUCAAUUGCUCCAAAGGGUUGCCCUAAAUUGAUGGUCAUAGAAAUUUAAAAAAUGACAAAUAGUUGUCGGCUUGUAGUGGGAAAUAUCAGCAACUAAAUAAAUACAAUAAUUUAAGAUUUUUCUAAAAAAACAAUUGAGUGUUCACAAAUAAAAAAAAAGUGAUUAAAAUAAAUUAAAUUAUUUUAAAAUGGUGAAUGCCCAUGUGACUUAUGGGCCCACCCACUGUAGCAAACAUCCAUCCCAAGUAACAUACAUUUUCAGACUUAUAAAUAGUCUAAUAUUCUUAAUUCUUUUAAAAUGUAAGUCAACUUUAGUCGAAUUUGUUGUUGCGAUACUAAACUUUCAUGAAGACCUAUUACCUCCCUAGACUAUUUAAUACAGUAUUUUAAACAUAUAUGUUUGCCCACGUGGACAUAAAAAAUAAUGCAAAAUUAUAAAUAGUAAUGUGUCCACGUGGGCACAUAUAGACCUUUAAAAUACACUAUUAAAUAGUUCAGGGGGUGAAAAAUACACUAUUAAAUACUUCAGGGAGGUAAUAGGUCCUCAUGAAAGUUUAGUAUCGCAACAACAAAUUCGACCAAAGUUGGGGUAUUUUUCAGACCGUUUUCCCAAAAUGUAAUAUACAUUUUAAAAAAUAUAUUAUUUGAUAUAAAUUACUUUCAUCUCGAAUUAAUAAUAUUUUGUUUUUAAUUUUCAUCACUUUGUAACACAAUUUGAUGUUAUUAUGAAUUUUCACUAUGAAUAAUGCACAAAAUUUAAAUGAUAAGGUACAAAUUUUAAUUAAAAUACAAUACAUAAUAUAAUAAUUUAAAUACAAAAUAAUAAUACAAAACAUUACAUAACAUAAUAAUUUUUAAAAUCACAACAAUAAUUUAGUAAUUCGGUAGUUUGAUUCAAGAUUUAACAAUAUUCGAAAAAGGAAGUAUGUAGUGUAUGAUUUAGAGAAGUUGUGGUUGUAAUUGCGAUCGUGCUAGUCGAUUUCUUUUUUUUAAUUAUUCUUAGUUGUUCUUUAGAAAUUUAGAAUAAGAUAUAAUUUAAUAUUAAAUAAAGAAUUUCAAAAAUUAAAUUUUAUAUAACAUAAAGAUUAUAUAGGAUGAUUAUUAAAGAAAGAAAAGAUUUAUAUUACGAAAUAAGAAAAUAAAAUGAAAUAGAAAUAAUAAUAUAAUAUUGAGGAGAGAGAAGGAGAUUCUUUUUUUAGAGAGUAAAUAGAGAAUUCGGUUGGAGUUGGUUGUCUAGAAAAAUAGAGAACUCUAUAUUUUGAGAGUAAAAUAGAGUGUAGGGUUGGUGAAGCCCUUAGGAUAAAUGUGUAUUAUUAUUUGUUGUCUUAUUUGCUUGAUAUCUUUCUAUUUUUUUAAUUUAUCGGAAAUAAUUUUUCUUAACAUAAAGAUAGGGAUAAGAUUUGCUUAAAUAUUUUCUGAUUUAAAUAGAGCACACUUGGUAUGCUACUGUUGUUGGUGAGCAAAAUUAUUAGUGUUCAUAUUAUCCUUUGGGCUGGUAGUUGGCUCACUGAUUUGGGCUUGAAACUGUCAUGUUAGAGCCUAGAGGUCUCAAGUUCGAGAUCCUUGUUGGCCUCUGGGUUGAGCUCGUUGCAUCGAAUUUGCCUAGUUUAUAAUACAUCUGAAACAAGAAACAAACUCUUUUAGGCAAUUUGUACAAUUAUUUCACGAGUCACCGGAUGACAACAUUGUUCAAUUAUUCACAAGUUAAACUAGAUUGACAAGAUUUUGUACCGUCUUUAUUCUACCUGAAGUUAAACAGACUAUAGAAAUGGAAAUAGAGCACCUAUGAAGUGCAUUUAUUUACUUUUUAUAACAACUUGCAGACUGUCACAUCCUGUGUUUUCUUUAAUGUCUCUUUUGAUAUUCAUUGCUGAAACCACAAGUGAAUUGAUGCAUUUGGACAGUUCAAUAAGUCGCAAUGUUGGAAUAUCUGUAAAGCUAGAAGGGAUCUCCUCAGUAGCUUGUAUAGAUAGCUCCUCAAGCACCGGAAAGGAUUCCUUUGAAGCUUUCCAUUCGUCUAUCUGCCAAUUGAGUAAUGUCAAGUAUUUGAGUGCACGGAACUCCACAUUUCUGACGUCCCAACAAUAACUCUGUGAUCUCCUCCAAGGAAAUCCCACCUCUAAUUUGAGACUCUCAAGCUUCUUUAUACUCGCAAUGUUUAAAACCAUUUCUUCCGUCAACAAAAAGCCAGCAAGGUGCAGAUGCCUAAGAUUUGUAAGGCGAAAACAAAAUUGCUCUUCCAUCCAACUGAAUCACAGAGUUUCAAGGAAGAUAACUCUAGAGAGAGAGAAUGAAAGUGAGUAUGAACUUCCGGUAUGGAAACAAAGGAAUCUCAGGUACAUUUUUAAUGUUGAGGCUGAGUUCUUCAAGAUUUGGAAACCUUCAACAAAAACCUUGGAUUCAUAUUAUCCAAGCAUAUAUGGCAAGUGCGAAAAGUCUUCAUGUUCUCUAGCACAGUUGUUGAAGUUUCCUCGAAACUUCCUUGUUCAUUGACAUCCCAUACCACGGAAAAACCAUCUAUAUUCACAUGCCUUGGCUUUGUCAUUUCCCAUAAAGUAGAAGCCCUUAGGUGUAUCCUCUCACUUGACUUCAGCUGCAGAGUUUGGAGAUAGUGUAGGUGUGAUAUCCACUUGAAAUUGAAAUGUUGGACAUAAAGUGAUAGGUACCUUAACUGAGUUAGCGAUUGCAUUGCAGUAGCCCAUGAAUUUGGCAAUGCGUCAUCCAUCAAAUGCAAUGCCCGAACAUAUCUUAAUUUAACAACUAAAUCUAAAGGAUUUGAAUAUUGGUUAUUCCAUGUAUUGAGUUUUGGAUGAGCAAUGAACUCCAAAGAAUUUGUUUCCUUGAAAUCCAGCAUUGGAAUCUUAUCCAGCUGGUAGUCGGAAUGAUCUACCUUCUUCAUAAAGUGCAAGGUACAUUAUUCAUAAAUCCGGGGUACAAGUCUCUCCUCGAAAUACCUUCUUCGUCAAUAAUCUCAAACUCUCUAACGUGGUUAGAAAGCUAAGAGAAUAAGGAUCACUAUGGUGCUGAAGAUGCUUAGCCACUUUUUCAAUUCGUGUUGUGAUCAUUACUCUGCUUCUUUAUUCACCUUGAGGAAAACAUGUAUCCAAAUCUUCCCAUGCCUCGACAUCCCAAGUGUCAUCUAAUACGAUGAGGUAUCUCCUGCCUAUUAAACUCUUGCGCAACUUGUCAGCUAUGUCGUCAUCGUCCUCUUUGAUUUUGAUCUUAUCAUUUGUAGUUUGUUUGAAAAUCUCAACCAAUAACGUCCUCCUAUUAUAUGCUUGUGACACAGCACACCAUGCAGUAAUUAACAAUAUAGGGAUUGUCGUAUACCUUUCUUGCCAAAGUUGUUUUACCGAGACCGGGCAUCCCAUAGAUGGUGAAAACAUCCCGCUCCUUAGUUCCUCGUAGCAAUUUCUUCAUUAUAAUUUCUGCAUCUUUCUCAAAGCCCACAACGUCAUCAUCAUCAUAAAUUGAUGUAAUUCUAGGUUUGUUUGAAGUUUCUCCAGAAGAAAGAGUUCCUUUUCCACAAGUUCCAACAACCUCCAUGGCUUUGUCACCUUUCAUAAAAGAAAUGAAAACAACAUUAUUUCAUAAUUUAGAGAAGAAAAAAGAAACCCAAACCAAAACAUUAUCAAAGUGAUGUAACAUAAAAAGUUUUUUGUGUUACAACUUACAAAUAUAUCCACUACAAUACACUUUUACCUCGGGUAUUUUCUUUCAGUUACUGGAGAUAUUAAUUCUAGGUCCCCCUGAGUCAAAAUUCGCUACUCAAUAAUCUUUUAUUAUGGUCAUUUUUAUUUCCGGCAAAAUGCAUUUGAUAUUACAAGACUCCAGCAUGAGCUUCUACAAACAAACACACUUGAAAAAGGAGGAAAAGUUUGGCGACCUGUCGAGAAUUAAAUUAUACAUUGUCGUGUUUUCAAAUUUCACAUCAUAUUAUAUGAAAUUACGGAAUACACUGGUUCAUCGAGGUUUUUUUAAAGUCCCUUUCCCUUGGCUGUUUUGAUAUUUUAUUUUUGAUAUCUUAUUGUGACAGAUCGGAUCCCAGACUUAGAUUUGUCGAGUUUCACCUUACUAUUUGUUGAAUGAUGGAAACCAUUUCAAGCUGAUUGAAUGAAGGGUAAUUUAGUCUUUAGUCAAGAAAGAUAUUUUGUGUAAAGUUUGUUACAAAGUGGUUAGAAACGGUUAAGAGGUCAAGUCAUCAGUUAGUUAGCAGAGGAACUAUAAAUAGUACUGUAAUGUAUGAUUGAUUUUUAAUUAGAAAUACAAAUUAGAUUUCCAGACUAUUCUCUCUUCUUCCUUCUAGAAUUCUCCAUAUCUGAUUGUACCUCUGAGCUUGGUAAGGUCAUCCAUGGCUGCUAACAUGGUAUCAGAGCCUUCACAGUCGAUCUGAAGUGCUAGAAAAGCAGUCUAUAUAGGUAGAUCUCUAAGCUCUCUCAAGGUACAACAAAGAAGAAAUGGCAAUUGACGAUCAAAUCAACAUUGGCACAGCAGAUGCACCACCAGUGAUUCACGGAGCUCCUCUGCUAGACCACAAUCAUCUCUUGUUCUUGCAACCAACAGAUACUCCAGGUAGUUCUCUCAUCUCGAUUCAACUCACAGGAUCUGAUAACUAUGCCUUAUGGAGUAGAUCUAUGAGAAUUGGUCUUAUAGGCAAAAGUAAGUUGGGAUUUGUUGAUGGUCGUUUCCCUAAAUCUCAGUUUGCACCAAUGCUUCAUGAUCAAUGGGGGAAAGUGAAUGCCGUAGUAUUAUCAUGGAUCAUGAAUGCAGUCAGACCAGGGCUUCUGAGCAGUGUAGUCUAUGCUUCGAAUGCCAGUAAAGUUUGGGAGGACCUGAAGGAGAGGUUCAACAAAGUGAAUGGCUCUAGAGUCAUGUUCCUACAUAGAGAGAUUCAUACUCUCACUCAAGGAACUGUAUCAGUAGCUGAUUAUUUCUCGAAAUUACGCGACCUCUGGGAUGAAUUUGAUGCUAUCAUGCCGUGUCCAGGUUGUGCUUGUCCUGAAUCUCAAAGCUAUCUUCAACACUUUGAAUAUCAGAGACUGUUGCAAUUCCUAAUGGGGCUAAAUGAGUCUUAUUCUCAAUCUAGAAGUCAGAUUAUGAUGAUGAGCCCAACUCCUAGUGUCAAUAGAGCCUACUCAAUGCUAGUCGAUCAGGAAAGUCAAAGAACUUUGGCGAGUUUAACCCAGGGAAUCCAUAUCAAUGAUACUAGUGAUAGUGUUGCUAUGAUGAGUCACACUAGAGCACACUCAAGUAGUAGUACUGCAAUGCUCAGUAACACUAGACUAUAUCAUUCUGAUGUUAGUGGGAGCUCCAAGGGGAAGAAACCUCAGGUCAUAUGUGAAGUUUGUGGUUAUAAAGGCCAUACUAAGGAGUCCUGCUACAGAAUUGUUGGGUAUCCACCUGACUGGAAAGGUAAAAAGAAAGGUGUGCCAUCCCAGUACAAUCCAAGCUAUGCAGGUAACACUAACUCCUAUGCACAUCUUGCUAAUGUGAUACCUACAGGCACAGGAGGAAGGUCCUUUGGCUACUGGCCUCAACAGAUAGGACAUCAAACCCCUAUACAACACUAUGCAUCACAUGGCUCCUCACCUGCAUUCCAGAUGCAAGCUCAGCAUCCAAUGCAAACUCAGCACCAAAGAGUAGUCCCUCAGAUGCAGCAGUGUGGUCUGUAUCAGAUUCCAGGAGAUUCUCAAAAUCAAGCCAGACCUUACUUCACUCCUGAUCAAUAUCAGCAAGUGGUUCACAUGCUUGAUCAGGGGACCCCUGAUGGAUCAUCCUCUAGUAAGACUACAGCAGGUACUGUGAUCUCCUUAGUGUCUAGGUACAUGAAUCAAAAUUGGAUAAUAGAUACUGGUGCUUCUAAUCACAUGACUUCCAAUAAGAGUAUGUUGAAAAAUAGUCAAGUAGUUCCACAGCAGGCCAGCAAUCAAGUACAAUUACCUACAGGUGAUGUAGUUUCAAUCACUCACACAGGGACAUCACGUAUAUUUAAAGAUCAGGAAAUCAGCAAUGUGUUGUAUCUUCCUGACUUUAGAUAUAACCUUCUCUCAGUAUCUCGACUAACCAAGGAACUUCAGUGUUUUGCAGUGUUCUUUCUUGACUUUUGUCUCUUUCAGGACCUCUCCACUGGACAGGUGAAGGGGAUUGGUAGGGAACAACAUGGUCUCUAUGUGUUACAAGGAGGAUCCUGUCCCACCACCAUCACACAAACUGUUGUAAACACUGCUAGUCAAGUCCCUGAUUGUUCCCAUUUGUGGCAUCUGAGAUUGGGUCAUGCUCCAUUGGAAGUGCUCAAUAAACUUGUCACUCUCCCUCAUCUUUCUAAACCUACUAAAUCUCAUCAUUGUACUGUAUGUCCCUUAGCUAAACAGAGUAAACUUUCUUUUCCAAGUAGUGUUACUAGUUCCCAAUCUGUUUUUCAAUUGGUUCACUGUGAUGUAUGGGGACCAUAUAGAGUCCCUACUUAUGAUGCUAAGAGAUACUUUGUUACUCUAGUUGAUGAUUACUCUAGAUUUACCUGGCUGUUUCUGAUAAAUUCUAAGUCAGAUACUAUUGUCAUUCUGAAAGAUUUUAUCAAUAAAGUGCAAAAUGUGUUCUCUUCUACUAUCAAAACUCUUCGAACUGACAAUGGUUGUGAAUUUAUUAACCAUCCCUUUCAAAGUGUGUUGUCUGAGUUUGGCAUUCAACAUCAAACCUCUUGUGUGUACACUCCUCAGCAAAAUGGAGUUGUUAAAAGAAGACAUAGGACUAUCCUUGAGAUGGCAAGGUCUAUUCGAUUUCAAUCAGCAAUGCCUUUGAAAUUUUGGGGAGACUGUGUCAGUACUGCUGUGUACUUACUUAACAGACUUCCAUCCAGGGUGAUUGAGUACAAAACUCCUUAUGAAAUGUUAUAUAUGCAUCCUCCAAAUGUGAAUCAUCUGAAGGUUUUUGGGUGUUUGGGCUAUGCUAGCACUCCUAGGGCACUUGACAAGUUUGCCUCUAGAGCUAAACCUGCUGUUUUCAUAGGAUACUCACAGUCACAAAAAGGGUAUAAACUAUAUGAUAUCGCCACCCACUCUUUCUUUGUCAGCAAAAGUGUGGUGUUCAAGGAAGAUGUUUUUCCCUUCAAACACAUACAAGGUGCAGUUUCUCCUGUGUUUCCAGUCCUAGACCUUUUCUCUCCGGCAAGUCACCUGAGUGGUUCCAACUCUCAGCAGGGAUCUCUCAUAUCCAGUCCUUCUACACAGGCUGUGGCUGAUCAUACACCUCUUGUUCUAGUUCCUGGUGCACAGUCACCAGUGAUCCCUAUUAUCAGGAAAUCCACAAGACCUCACAAACCUCCAGGUUGGCUGCAGGACUAUGUUUCUGCCCCAAAGGCCUCUUCCUGCCUAUAUCCUAUGCCUUCCUAUGUUUCGUAUUCCACUGUGAGUCCAGGUCAUAUGCAAACCUUAUCCCCCUAUGCUUGUCAACAUGAACCUCAGUCAUUUAGGGAGGCUUCUCUUGACCCUAGAUGGAUUGAAGCUAUGCAGUUGGAGAUUGCUGCUCUUGAGGACAACAACACCUGGACUAUUGUGGACUUACCUCCCCAUAAGUCUCCCAUUGGAUGCAAGUGGAUCUAUAAGAUCAAGUACAAAGCCUCCGGGGAAGUAGAAAGAUUUAAGGCCAGGCUGGCUGCUAAGGGGUUCAGCCAAAAAGAGGGCAUAGAUUACACAGAAACAUUUUCCCCUGUGGCCAAGAUGGUCACAGUCCGGACUGUGAUUGCUUUGGCUGCCUCCAAACAGUGGUAUCUCUAUCAGAUAGAUGUCCAUAAUGCUUUCUUAAAUGGUGAUCUCCUAGAAGAAGUCUAUAUGAAGCUUCCUGAUGGGUUUGCUAGACAGGGGGGCUCUUCUAAAGUCUGCAAACUUCAGAAAUCUCUUUAUGGCCUCAAGCAGGCUCCAAGACAGUGGAACAGAAAAUUGACUGAAGCACUGGAAGCAUUGGGAUUCAAACAGAGCCACUUUGAUUACUCACUCUUCACUAAUAAAAAUGGAGUUGAUAUAACAGUAGUGCUUGUAUAUGUUGAUGAUCUCAUAGUCACAGGAAGCAAUCACAACCUGAUCAAACAAACAAGGACUGAAUUACAAAGUAAGUUCAAAAUGAAAGAUCUUGGUGAAUUAAAGUUCUUUCUGGGCAUAGAGGUUGCUAGAUCAAAGGAAGGGAUAGUUAUGUCACAAAGGAAAUAUGCACUGGAGCUGAUUAAAGAAGCUGGACUCAGUGGAUCUAAACCAGCUGGAACUCCUCUAAAACUAAAUGUGAAGCUUACUUCUGAAGAAUAUGAUCAGUACAUCAGAAGGGAAGACACAGACUUAUUACUCAAGGAUCCUGGUCCCUAUCAGAGAUUAGUAGGAAGAUUAUUAUAUCUAACUAUGACAAGACCAGACCUAGCAUUCACAGUUCAAGUACUAAGCCAAUUUAUGCACAGUCCAAAAAACUCACACAUGGAGGCAGCCUUGAGAGUUGUGAGGUACAUUAAAGGAGCACCUGGACUUGGACUGUAUUUGCCAGCAGAAUCCACAAACAAUCUAACCACCUAUUGUGACUCAGACUGGGGUGCAUGUCUACAGACCAGGAGGUCAGUCACAGGUUACCUAGUGAAGUUUGGGGAAGCUCUAAUAUCCUGGAAGUCAAAGAAACAAGACACAGUCUCCAGAAGCUCAGUAUAAGCUGAAUUCAGAAGCAUGGCUUCAGCUACUGCAGAGAUCAUCUGGCUGACCGGUCUACUAAAGGAACUAGAUGUUGAAGUACAAGUGCCUACUCAGCUAAUGUGUGAUAGUAAAGCAGCAAUACAAAUUGCUGCAAAUCCAAUAUUUCAUGAGAGAACUAAACACAUAGAUAUAAACUGCCACUUUGUAAGGAAGAAUUUUGCAGGGAAUGAUCAGACAAAUCAUGUGCCUACCAAAGAGCAGCUGGCUGAUAUUCUGACCAAAAGUCUGGGAAGAGCACAACAUGAGUAUUUACUCAGUUUACUUGGUGUGAAAGACCUGUUUAGUCCAUCAGCUUGAGGAGGGGUGUUGAAUGAUGGAAACCAUUUCAAGCUGAUUGAAUGAAGGGUAAUUUAGUCUUUAGUCAAGAAAGAUAUUUUGUGUAAAGUUUGUUACAAAGUGGUUAGAAACGGUUAAGAGGUCAAGUCAUCAGUUAGUUAGCAGAGGAACUAUAAAUAGUACUGUAAUGUAUGAUUGAUUUUUAAUUAGAAAUACAAAUUAGAUUUCCAGACUAUUCUCUCUUCUUCCUUCUAGAAUUCUCCAUAUCUGAUUGUACCUCUGAGCUUGGUAAGGUCAUCCAUGGCUGCUAACACUAUUCUUAGUAUUUGAGAAAGAAAAAUGGAAUAAUCCGUCAUUGAAAGAGCUUUAAAGCUCAAAUUUUAAGAUUUAACCUGCUGUAAAUGUGUGAAUCAUUUCGAGCGAAAAAUAUGUCCAAAAGAUUAAAAAUGUUGAGAGCAGCUCAUAUCUAAAAUUUGAAACGGUUUAAGAGGAGUUCUGAGUUGGUCGAGAUUGAAAAAAAAAGAUCAAUGAAGAAGGUGAAAUAAGGUAAUAUAUAAAUAUUAUAUAAACAGUAUUUAUAGAUGUAUAUAUAGUUAUGAUUUGUAAUUUCUAAUUUAGUUUAACCACUCCAAAAUUUAACUUCUGAAUGGAACAAAAUGCCUAGUAAAUAAGUAGAGAAGCAAAUAAAAUAAAAAGAAGUUGAAAAUAACCAAGAAAAAACUGAUUAAAGAAUAUUAGUGAAUAAUGAUGUGAAGAAAAUAGAGUAAAAUGUAUGAAAAAAAAUAAAACAAUUUAGAAAUCUGACCUUAGGUUAUUGAGAAGAUUGCUUAAUUGAUGCUUUUGUGUUCAGGGAAAUGGAAACUGAGAAAAAAUAUAGAGGAAGGAGAUGGUGGACUUCAAUGAUAUAAAUAAUUGCUGAUUAAACAAAUAAAUACAUAUUAUUCAAAACUCCCAAUCAACAGCUGUAUGUAUUGUACCCCACAUUUCCGAUCGGAAAAGAUAACUUUGUUUAUGCUCCUUCACUUUCAUAUUAUUAAAUUUAUGUUGAUCUGACAUAUUUUGUUCGUUAAAAAAAAGAAUGAUCUAAUGUAAUUUGACAUGGUAUUUAAAAAAAUAAAAAAGAUUUUUUGUGGUCCUCAAUCAAAGUUAUGUUAAAUGUAUGAAAAUAUUUUUUAAUCUUCUGAUUUUGAACUUUUAAGCAUGUCAUAUGGAAAGUUGAAAUUAAAGUUUUGCCAAAAGAAAAGGGGUCAUUUUUUUUAAGAAAAAAUUAAAAAGAAAGAAGAUCAUUUUUUUUUAAACAAAAGAAGUACUCCUGUAAUUUAUUUUAUAUAGCUAUUUAAUAUUAAGGAUAGAAAAAAUAUAUAUUUCCUCUCGUCUAUUUUACUUGUCAUUUUUGGCAUGCACGUCCUCUAAGAAAAAUAUUAACUAUAACAUAAUUUGACUCUAAAAUUUAACUUCUUAAAUGAAUAACAUGCCUAGUAAAUAAGUAGAGAAGCAAACCAAAUAAAAAGAGCUUAAAGUUAACCAAAGAAAAUGCGAUUAAAGAAUAUUACUGAAUUAAUGAUAAGUUAUUAUAAUCUUAUAUAUAUGACUCAUAUUAUUAAUUAAAAAUUAAAUGAAGUUUCUAUUUUAAUUAUUAUUCAUUAUUAGGUAAAGUAACUUUAAAAAAGAAAAUAAGAAAUGAAAAUUUUUAAUAAUAUUUUAUGAGGAAUGAAUAUGAUUAAAAAGAAAAAUAAUACUAAUAUAUUUAUUAGGAAAAGAACAUUUUCUACUUAUUAAGUAGUAAUAAUAAUGAUAUUUUUAAACUGACCUAUUAGAGAGCCUUUUUUUUUUAAUGUCAUAUUGUUUAAGAUAACUUUUGACGCAUUUUCUUGUUGAAUAACUUUUUACUUAAUUUGAACUAUAAAAAAUAUCCUAACAAUUCAUAGUAGGAGUAAUUGAAAAAGUUGUCACAUUAUACACAUCGCGGGGAGCUAAUAAAAAAAGAAAAAAUAAAAAGAUGAUUUUUGUUUUUUAACGGUUUGAUUUUUACUUUGUCACUUAAUUUAAAGGCAUAAUACAUAAAUAUGUCAUUUAAUUUGACUUUAUUUUACAUUUAUGCUCUCCAACUUUGAAUGUGCACAAAUAGAAAAAUAAACUUGUACGAAGUUAAAUUAGUAGACACAUGAGUCCUACAUGACAUAAUACACAUAGGACACCACAUAAGACUCAAAUUGUCAUGUGUGAUGUUACGUAGGACGCGUGUGUCUAUUUGUUCAACUUUAUACAAGUUUAAAUGUUUAUUUGUGCACACUAAAAAUUAGAGCAUUGUAAAUUAAAAUCAAGUUAAAGGACAUAUUUAUAUAUUAUGCCUAAUUUAAAAUAUGUUUUUAUUGAAUGUAUGGCCUAUUUGAAAAUCAUACUAUCUCUAUUAGGGGUGUGUAUCGUUGGUUCAGUUUAAUUUUAAGUAUUAUCGGUUCGGAUUAUCUGUUUUCGAUUUUAAAUGUACUAAACCGAUAGUCAAGCUAAUAAGAUAUUUGUUAUCGAUUUUCGAUUUAUUGAUUUUUGGUCCUUAACAGUUCGAUUUUCGGUUUAACCAAUAAAAAAAUGCUUUCAAAACAAAUAUAUGAUUUGUCCACUAAUUUGACGCGAUACAGACAUACAUCGAAACAAGCAAAUCAAACAAAAUUGCAACAAUAAAGAUGAAAGUAGUACUAAAACCUAAAGGGUAAAUGCAGAGAGGACAGAGUUAAGUAAUGUUAAUUGUGUAGGGUAGUUAUAGUUAUAGUCUAAUAUAAUAAUUAUAUUAAUAUUUUUUGUUUGAUAUUUAUGUAUGACUAAAAAUUAAAAUAACAAAUUAUUAUAUUCUUAAUGAGUUAUCGAUUAACCCAAUAACCUAAUAUUAAAAAAUCAAUAUCGAAUUGAUAACUCAAUAAUUUUUUAUAAAACCAUUAAAUAACGGUUAAUUCAAUAAUCCAAUAACAAUAAACCAAUAACACUUUUUUCAAUUUGAUUUUUGCAUACCCCUAAUCUCAUCUGUUUUAAUAUAAAGUAGUUUCUGAAAGUCCGACUUUGAUAGAGUAAUCUCUGUGCUCGAGUAAUUUAGGCCUUUCAAAAUCAAAUAAGCAGUUUAACAAAUUCAUGAGCAUUACAAGAUUGAAUAUACAUACAGAGAAUUGUUUUCUCUAUAUAUAUGAGAUGGAUGAAAUUAAAGAGGUGUUAUCCGCUAUAAGCUUUAUUAGUCCUUCAAUUUAACAACUUGGAGACUGUCACUUCCCGUGUUUUCUUCAAUUUCUUUUUUGAGUUUCAAAGCUGAAUCAACAAGAUAGUCGUUGCAGUCAAACAGUUCAAUAAGUCGCAGCGCUGGAAUAUCCUGAAAGCUAGGAGGGAUCUCCAGGAAAUCGAAACCAGCUUUUAUAGAUAGCACCUCAAGCACAGGAAAGGAUUCCUCUGAAGCUUUCCAUUCGUCGAUCUGCAUACCGAGUAAUGUCAAAUAUUUGAGUGCAGGGAACUCCACAUUUGUGACGUCCCAACAAUAGCUCUCUGAUCUCCCCAAAGGAAUUCCCAACUCUAAUUUCAGACUCUCAAGAUUCUCCAAUCUUGCAAUGUUUAAUAUCAUUUGUUCAGUUAAGAAACAGCCAGCAAGGCGCAAAUGCCUAAGAUUUGGAGGGAACACACAAUACCUCUCCCAUCGGUCAACUGAAUCCCAGAAUUCCGUGAAAGAUAAAACCAGAGAAAGAGAAUGAAGGUUAGUAUGAACUUUCGGUAUGGAAAACAGAGGAAACUUAGGUACACAUUUGACGUGGAGGCUGAGAUCUUCGAGAUUUGAAAACCUCCACCAGAACCUUGGAUUCUUAUUAUCCAACAAUAUAUGGUAAGUGUGAAAAGUCUUCAUGUUCUCUAGCAUAGGUGUUGAACAUUCUUCAAAACUUCCUUCGUCAUUAAUGUCUUCCCAUACCAACGAAAAACAGUCUAUAUUCACAUGCCUUAGCUUCGUCAUUUCCCAUAAAAUAGCAGCCCUUAGGUGUAACUUCUUAUUGGACCGGAGCUGUAGAGUUUGGAGAUUGUGUAGGCGUGAUAUCCACUUCAAUUCAAAAUGUUCCACAGAAACUGCAAGGUACCUCAACUUAGUUAGCGAUUGCAUUGCUUUAGCCCAUGUAUCAGGCAAUUCCACAUCCAUCAAAUACACUGCCCGAAUAGAUCUGAAUUUAACUGCUAAAUGUAAAGGAUUUGAAUAUAGGUUAUUCCAUGUAUUGAGUUUUGGAUGAGCAAUGAAUUCCAGAGAUUUUGUUUCCUUGAAAUCGAGCAUUGGAAUCUUAUCCAGCUGGUAGUCGGAAUGAUCUAAUUGUUUAAUUAGAUCAUCAUGAAUAUAAAUGCAUAACCGUGAUUCCGUGGAAUGCAAAUGUUGAUACGGAUUGUAUGGCACUGCGACCUGAAUAUACUGGUCUUCUGUGAGUUUUCUCAAGCAGAACUCACGCACUACAUCAUUAAGUGAGCAGUAUUCUACAACAUGAUCAAUUCUCAUUCCGGAGACCAUUACUAGGCUUCUGUUAAGCAAAUCACUCAAGCAAUUUCGAGAUGCUUCCUCCAUGUUCUCUGUUUCGGCAUUCAAUACAAACUCUUCAGCCAUCCACAACUUCAGCAGAUGGUCCACUGGGAUCUUAUGGUCUUCUGGAAACAAUCCCAUGUAAAGAAGGCAAGGCUUUAAGUGGUCUUCUAAAUGGUCAUAACUUGAUUGUAUCACCUUCAUGCUCUGCUCUCCUAAUGCAAGGGAACUUAAGUCAUUUGCAACCUCGAGCCACAAGGACGCCUUCCUUUCCCUUUUUGCUAUAAUUCCAGCAAUCAAGACAACCACAAGAGGCAGUCCCUUACAGUGUAGGGCAACUUGUAACCCUGCUUCCAGUAGAUCCGGGGAACAACUUUCUCCUCGAAAUACCUUCUUCUCCAAUAAUUCCCAAGUCUCUCCGAAAGUUAGAAAGCUAAGAGGAUAAGGAUCACUGUGAUGAUGAAGAUCCUUAGCCACUUGUUCAAUUCGUGUUGUGACAAUUACUCUGCUUCCAUAUUUACCUUGAGGGAAGCAUGUUACCAAAUCUUUCCAUGCCUCGACAUCCCAAAUGUCAUCUAAUACAAUGAGAUAUCUUCUGCUUAUUAGACUCUUGCGCAACAUGUCAGCUACAUCAUCAUCCUCUUUGAUUUCGCUAUCAGCAUUUGUUGCUUGUUUGAAAAUCUCAACCAAUAACGUCCUUCUAUUAUAUGCUUGUGACACAGCACACCAUGCUUUAACAUCAAAGUGACUAACAAUAGAGGGAUUGUAGUACACCUUCCUUGCCAAAGUUGUUUUACCGAGUCCAGGCAUUCCAUAGAUGGAGAUAACAUCCCGCUCCUUUGUUCCUUGUGUCAAUUUCUUCAUCAUAAUUUCUGCAUGUUUCUCAAACCCGACAACUUCAUCAUCAUCAUAAAUUGAUGUAAUACUAGGUUUUGUGGAAGGCUCUCCAGAAGUUUCAACAACAUCCAUGUCAAUUGGCGAUUGUGGAAACUACUAUGAUCCGGCCAAACUAUCUUUAGUUAAUUGCUCUGUCACCUUUCAUUAGGAAAAAUGAAGAUGCUAUAAUUAUAAGAAAAAACAACAAAAAGUAAACUUUGAUGCUUCAAUUUUGGGUUUAGAGAAGUCGAAAUUGAGAAAGAAGAGGAUGGACAUAUAUUGAAGAAAGAAUAGUGAUACUACAAAUAUAUAGUACUACUAGAGGCCUUAAAAUAAAAAUUAUAUAAGCAAUGUUUUUAUUUUAAAUCUAUUUUUCUAGCUUUUUG